rnacentral:sRNA from 1 species
GAUCCACCGACCCAUCUCCCACUGGAGC